rnacentral:rRNA from 1 species
UACGUAGGUGGCAAGCGUUGUCCGGAAUUAUUGGGCGUAAAGCGCGCGCAGGCGGUCCUUUAAGUCUGAUGUGAAAGCCCACGGCUCAACCGUGGAGGGUCAUUGGAAACUGGGGGACUUGAGUGCAGUAGAGGAGAGUGGAAUUCCUGGUGUAGCGGUGAAAUGCGUAGAGAUCAGGAGGAACAUCAAUGGCGAAGGCAGCUCUCUGGACUGUAACUGACGCUGAGGCGCGAAAGCGUGGGUAGCAAACAGG